UCCCUUGUGGCUCAGUGGUAAAAGAACCUGCCUGCCAAUGCAGGAGACUCGGGUUCAAUCCCUGGCUUGGGAA
rnacentral:tRNA from 1 species